rnacentral:rRNA from 1 species
UACGUAGGGGGCAAGCGUUGUCCGGAUUUAUUGGGCGUAAAGAGCGUGUAGGCGGCCAGGUAGGUCUGCUGUGAAAACUCGAGGCUCAACCUCGAGACGUCGGCGGAAACCAUCUGGCUAGAGUCCGGAAGAGGAGAGUGGAAUCCCUGGUGUAGCGGUGAAAUGCGCAGAUAUCAGGAAGAACACCCGUGGCGAAGGCGGCUCUCUGGGACGGUACUGACGCUGAGACGCGAAAGCGUGGGGAGCGAACAGG